UACCUACGGGUGGCAGCAGUGGGGAAUCUUAGACAAUGGGGGAAACCCUGAUCUAGCCAUGCCGCGUGAGCGAUGAAGGCCUUAGGGUUGUAAAGCUCUUUCAGCUGGGAAGAUAAUGACGGUACCAGCAGAAGAAGCCCCGGCUAACUCCGUGCCAGCAGCCGCGGUAAUACGGAGGGGGCUAGCGUUGUUCGGAAUUACUGGGCGUAAAGCGCACGUAGGCGGAUCAGAAAGUCAGAGGUGAAAUCCCAGGGCUCAACCUUGGAACUGCCUUUGAAACUCCUGGUCUUGAGGUCGAGAGAGGUGAGUGGAAUUCCGAGUGUAGAGGUGAAAUUCGUAGAUAUUCGGAGGAACACCAGUGGCGAAGGCGGCUCACUGGCUCGAUACUGACGCUGAGGUGCGAAAGCGUGGGGAGCAAACAGGAUUAGAUACCCCAGUAGUCA
rnacentral:rRNA from 1 species